AGAGAUUUAGUUUAAUUUUAGAAUAUUUGACUCUUAAUCAAAAGGUUUAAACUUUA
rnacentral:tRNA from 1 species